rnacentral:misc_RNA from 1 species
CCGGAUAAAUCUUGCGUCAUCUGUUAGUUGAUUUCGCGUUUUCCGUCUUCCCGAUCCUGUCAUACUGUUUAAAUAACCGACAUGUCAAACGUCAAAUUCGAUCAAAUCGCUAACAAAUUUUGUAGUGAUUUUUGUCAUGGCAUAUAAAAUCCGAAUUUUGCAAAUUAGAUCUUGCGGUUUAUUAUCAUUUCAAACAAUUUUCGCGGACUUGGCGCAAUCUUGUAUCAAGUAUGAUGUCCGCCACGAGUAAUUCCUCUCGCAAAGUCUGUUGCUUUUGCAACUUAACGGAAGACGAUGAACUGAAAUAUGGUAAAUUCUACGAGUAUAAUGGAAUUGUUACACAUUAUUAUUGUUUGCUCCUUUCUUCGAACAUGGAACAGAAAGGAAACGAUGACGAGGGUAUACUUGGAUUUCUGAUAGAAGACAUACAAAAGGAACUUCGCAGAGGAAAGAGAUUGACAUGUUCUUAUUGCAAAAAGAUUGGUGCUACUUUAGGCUGUUGUAAUGUAAGGUGUAGACGAACAUUUCAUUUCCCUUGCGGCUUGAAAGAUGGUUCAUUAUAUCAAUAUUUUGGAGAAUUUAGAUCAUAUUGUAUAAAUCAUAGACCAAAGCAACAAAUCGAUGAACAUAUUUUAAAACAGAUUAGUCCAUUAGAUAAUACAUUAUGUUAUAUUUGUUACAACAAGGUAAACCCCAUCGAUUUUGUAAAAACCUUAUGGGCCCCUUGUUGUAAAAAAAAUGCAUUCUUUCAUCAUAAAUGUAUUCAGCAACUUGCUUUAAGUACAGGAUAUUUCUUCAAGUGUCCUCUUUGUAAUAAUAAUAAAGAUUUUCAAAAUGCUAUGUUAGAAUAUGGCAUUUUUAUCCCAAAUCAGGAUGCAUCAUGGGAAUUGGAACCAAAUGCGUUUGAAGAGCUUUUAUAUAGACAUGAUCAAUGCGACGCAGUGAACUGUCUUUGUCCAAAGGGAAGGAAGCAUGUAAGCAGUAAUGCUAAAUGGGAAUUGAUAUUAUGUCAGACUUGUGGAUCGCAAGGUAUUCACAGGGCAUGCGGACAAUUAAAAUGGGCUGAUCCUGUAUGGGAAUGCACUGAAUGUACUUCCAUAUUAUAUAAUUCUAAAAGUAAUGAAGAUGCAAAAUCAGCAGACAGUAGUUCUGAUGAUUUGAGUAUAGAUUCUGAUUCAGAUUCAUAUAGUGAUACAGAUAUCUCGGUGGGAAUGGACUUUCCUAUGCCCUCUUCAUCAUCCAGUUUUAAUUCAUCUUCGAUGUCGUUGCCGGAUUUAAUUUCGGAUAUUAGAUUGCGUCCUGGUCCACGUUCUUUUAAGUUAAAACAACAACUGAUUAAAUGUUUGGAAUUAACACGUUCUCUUGGGAAGGAUAUAACUACUAAAGUUAACGAAGAUAUCAAUGCAUCACUAAAGAACAAUGAUAAAGAAAAUUCUUUAACAAAUAAUGAUAAUGAUUCUCUUUCCACUCCAAAAGAAAAACUGCUGUUUAGCAAUGAUGUAACAUCUCAACUAAUUCGAAAAGAAAUAGAUGUUGUCACAAUUGACAGUGAUGAUGAUGAUGAUGAUGAAAUUUUUACAGUAAAACGAAGAACAAAUCUUUUAACUCCGCUAUUGACAUCUCAAUCAAGUUUGCUUAAUGCAUCAUCAAAGAAUAUUAUUAAGUCAAAAUUAAACACAGUAGAAAAUUCAACAUCUAAAAAUUUAAAUGCAACAUCGACUUUAUUGGAAAAAGAUAACAUUAAGUCACACAAAUCUGCAUCAAAAUCAAAAAUUGUAAACAAAAAUGAAUCUAUCAUUUCUGAACAAUAUGAUGUAGCUUUGCGAGAAUUCAUGUCAGAUCUGAUUAUAAAGAAUGAUUUAAAUAAUGAUUUAGAUGACUUGAAUAUAGAUGGAAAUCCUUUUAUGAAUAUCAAUAAUACUGGUGCUACUUCUCAAUCACCAAAAGUGUUUAAAAGUGUACCUGAUCCAUUACAUGACAGUUCCUUUGAGGCUUCAUCUUCGACGUGUAAAUCGUUGGAGAAACUCGUCACAUACAUCUUGCCUUCGAAGCGUAUAUAUGAAGAAGAGAAUAAUGUUGUCAAUAAGUGUAAAAAAAUCAAAGGAUACAACGAAAAGUCUUGGGAAAAAAAAUCAUUGGCCUUCUGCAUUGUGUCUAAUGCAAACAAGCAGCAAAAUAGAAAAACAUCUCCAAUCAAGACCAAUGAGAUUUGUGAAAAUAAAAAUUCCUUGAAAUAUACAUCUAUAAACGAACUUUACAAUUUAUCAAUCAGUCGAAAGAAGAUAAAUUCAUCAAAUGAAUUCAUCAGAACUGUAUGUACAAUAGCAACGCCAUUGAAUUGCACAACACUGUCGCGACUCACAACGUCUUCCUCCGAGUUACAAAUAAACACAAUACCUGUUAUCAACCUAGAUUGAUACUGCAAUAUAUAAAUUUACACGAUCUAAAGUUUCGAGUCUGCAAAUUAGAGAAUGUUGAGGGAAAAGAUACGAGUGAACCAUUUGAUUAACGAUAAAAGCAAAUGCUUGAUUAGGAAGAAAGAGAAUUUAGAUUCUAUUAGAUCGAAAAUGUCUUCUCAUAACAAUACAUUUGAUAAUGGAAAAUGCACUUGUAGAAUUGGAUUUGGAUUAUCACCGAG